CCUACGGGUGGCAGCAGUGAGGAAUAUUGGUCAAUGGACGCAAGUCUGAACCAGCCAUGCCGCGUGCAGGAAGACGGCUCUAUGAGUUGUAAACUGCUUUUGUACGAGGGUAAACGCAGAUACGCGUAUCUGUCUGAAUGUAUCCUACGAAUAAGGAUCGGCUAACUCCGUGCCAGCAGCCGCGGGAAUAUGGAGGAUUCAAGCGUUAUCCGGAUUUAUUGGGUUUAAAGGGUGCGUAGGCGGUCGGAUAAGUUAGAGGGGAAAUCCCGGGGCUCAACUUCGGAAUUGCCUCUGAUACUGUUGGGCUAGAGAGUAGGUGCGGUAGGCGGAAUGUAUGGUGUAGCGGUGAAAUGCUUAGAGAUCAUACAGAACACCGAUUGCGAAGGCAGCUUACCGGGCUACUUCUGACGUUGAGGCGCGAAAGCGUGGGGAGCAAACAGGAUUAGAUACCCUUGUAGUC
rnacentral:rRNA from 1 species